rnacentral:rRNA from 1 species
UACGGAGGGUGCGAGCGUUGUCCGGAAUCACUGGGCGUAAAGGGCGCGUAGGCGGCAUGCCAAGCGUGUGGUGAAAGCCCGGGGCUCAACCCCGGGUCGGCCGUGCGGACUGGCGUGCUCGAGCACUGUAGGGGCGGGUGGAAUCCCGGUGUAGCGGUGAAAUGCGCAGAGUAUCGGGAGGAACACCAGUAGCGAAGGCGGCACUCUGGGCCGGAACUGACGCUGAGGAGCGAAAGCGUGGGAGCAACAGG